rnacentral:rRNA from 1 species
GGGUUGUGAGGUUAAGCGACUAAGCGUACACGGUGGAUGCCCUGGCAGUCAGAGGCGAUGAAGGACGUGCUAAUCUGCGAUAAGCGUCGGUAAGGUGAUAUGAACCGUUAUAACCGGCGAUUUCCGAAUGGGGAAACCCAGUGUGUUUCGACACACUAUCAUUAACUGAAUCCAUAGGUUAAUGAGGCGAACCGGGGGAACUGAAACAUCUAAGUACCCCGAGGAAAAGAAAUCAACCGAGAUUCCCCCAGUAGCGGCGAGCGAACGGGGAGCAGCCCAGAGCCUGAAUCAGUGUGUGUGUUAGUGGAAGCGUCUGGAAAGGCGCGCGAUACAGGGUGACAGCCCCGUACACAAAAAUGCACAUGCUGUGAGCUCGAUGAGUAGGGCGGGACACGUGGUAUCCUGUCUGAAUAUGGGGGGACCAUCCUCCAAGGCUAAAUACUCCUGACUGACCGAUAGUGAACCAGUACCGUGAGGGAAAGGCGAAAAGAACCCCGGCGAGGGGAGUGAAAAAGAACCUGAAACCGUGUACGUACAAGCAGUGGGAGCACGCUUAGGCGUGUGACUGCGUACCUUUUGUAUAAUGGGUCAGCGACUUAUAUUCUGUAGCAAGGUUAACCGAAUAGGGGAGCCGAAGGGAAACCGAGUCUUAACUGGGCGUUAAGUUGCAGGGUAUAGACCCGAAACCCGGUGAUCUAGCCAUGGGCAGGUUGAAGGUUGGGUAACACUAACUGGAGGACCGAACCGACUAAUGUUGAAAAAUUAGCGGAUGACUUGUGGCUGGGGGUGAAAGGCCAAUCAAACCGGGAGAUAGCUGGUUCUCCCCGAAAGCUAUUUAGGUAGCGCCUCGUGAAUUCAUCUCCGGGGGUAGAGCACUGUUUCGGCAAGGGGGUCAUCCCGACUUACCAACCCGAUGCAAACUGCGAAUACCGGAGAAUGUUAUCACGGGAGACACACGGCGGGUGCUAACGUCCGUCGUGAAGAGGGAAACAACCCAGACCGCCAGCUAAGGUCCCAAAGUCAUGGUUAAGUGGGAAACGAUGUGGGAAGGCCCAGACAGCCAGGAUGUUGGCUUAGAAGCAGCCAUCAUUUAAAGAAAGCGUAAUAGCUCACUGGUCGAGUCGGCCUGCGCGGAAGAUGUAACGGGGCUAAACCAUGCACCGAAGCUGCGGCAGCGACACUAUGUGUUGUUGGGUAGGGGAGCGUUCUGUAAGCCUGUGAAGGUGUACUGUGAGGUAUGCUGGAGGUAUCAGAAGUGCGAAUGCUGACAUAAGUAACGAUAAAGCGGGUGAAAAGCCCGCUCGCCGGAAGACCAAGGGUUCCUGUCCAACGUUAAUCGGGGCAGGGUGAGUCGACCCCUAAGGCGAGGCCGAAAGGCGUAGUCGAUGGGAAACAGGUUAAUAUUCCUGUACUUGGUGUUACUGCGAAGGGGGGACGGAGAAGGCUAUGUUGGCCGGGCGACGGUUGUCCCGGUUUAAGCGUGUAGGCUGGUUUUCCAGGCAAAUCCGGAAAAUCAAGGCUGAGGCGUGAUGACGAGGCACUACGGUGCUGAAGCAACAAAUGCCCUGCUUCCAGGAAAAGCCUCUAAGCAUCAGGUAACAUCAAAUCGUACCCCAAACCGACACAGGUGGUCAGGUAGAGAAUACCAAGGCGCUUGAGAGAACUCGGGUGAAGGAACUAGGCAAAAUGGUGCCGUAACUUCGGGAGAAGGCACGCUGAUAUGUAGGUGAAGUCCCUCGCGGAUGGAGCUGAAAUCAGUCGAAGAUACCAGCUGGCUGCAACUGUUUAUUAAAAACACAGCACUGUGCAAACACGAAAGUGGACGUAUACGGUGUGACGCCUGCCCGGUGCCGGAAGGUUAAUUGAUGGGGUUAGCCGCAAGGCGAAGCUCUUGAUCGAAGCCCCGGUAAACGGCGGCCGUAACUAUAACGGUCCUAAGGUAGCGAAAUUCCUUGUCGGGUAAGUUCCGACCUGCACGAAUGGCGUAAUGAUGGCCAGGCUGUCUCCACCCGAGACUCAGUGAAAUUGAACUCGCUGUGAAGAUGCAGUGUACCCGCGGCAAGACGGAAAGACCCCGUGAACCUUUACUAUAGCUUGACACUGAACAUUGAGCCUUGAUGUGUAGGAUAGGUGGGAGGCUUGGAAGUGUGGACGCCAGUCUGCAUGGAGCCGACCUUGAAAUACCACCCUUUAAUGUUUGAUGUUCUAACGUUGACCCGUAAUCCGGGUUGCGGACAGUGUCUGGUGGGUAGUUUGACUGGGGCGGUCUCCUCCUAAAGAGUAACGGAGGAGCACGAAGGUUGGCUAAUCCUGGUCGGACAUCAGGAGGUUAGUGCAAUGGCAUAAGCCAGCUUGACUGCGAGCGUGACGGCGCGAGCAGGUGCGAAAGCAGGUCAUAGUGAUCCGGUGGUUCUGAAUGGAAGGGCCAUCGCUCAACGGAUAAAAGGUACUCCGGGGAUAACAGGCUGAUACCGCCCAAGAGUUCAUAUCGACGGCGGUGUUUGGCACCUCGAUGUCGGCUCAUCACAUCCUGGGGCUGAAGUAGGUCCCAAGGGUAUGGCUGUUCGCCAUUUAAAGUGGUACGCGAGCUGGGUUUAGAACGUCGUGAGACAGUUCGGUCCCUAUCUGCCGUGGGCGCUGGAGAACUGAGGGGGGCUGCUCCUAGUACGAGAGGACCGGAGUGGACGCAUCACUGGUGUUCGGGUUGUCAUGCCAAUGGCACUGCCCGGUAGCUAAAUGCGGAAGAGAUAAGUGCUGAAAGCAUCUAAGCACGAAACUUGCCCCGAGAUGAGUUCUCCCUGACCCUUUAAGGGUCCUGAAGGAACGUUGAAGACGACAACGUUGAUAGGCCGGGUGUGUAAGCGCAGCGAUGCGUUGAGCUAACCGGUACUAAUGAACCGUGAGGCUUAACCUUACAACGCCGAAG